GGGCUGGAGAUGCGGUGUCCUGUUGAUAUGUAUUGACUUUUAAACCUGUUUUACUGUGAAUAAAAUGACUUUGUUCAAUUUAAACAGUGUGUGUUGUGUAAUGUUAUUUUAUAUAAAAUACAUUGGACCUGACAACCUGACAGGUGCAGAAUAAGUGGACCGCAAAGGGUUAAGAAACAAACUAAAUGUGACUGAAGACAAAAGAACACAAGCCUUUCAAGAGUUUCUGAUUUCUUUUUAUUCCUUGUUUCCUAGAAAAAGCUGUAUGUGGGUUCUCACUACGAGGUGGUUGCGAUUGACCUGCAGAAUUGUGAGCAGUACGGCGAUGGAUGCGAGCAGUGCAUUUUAUCUAGAGACCCCUACUGCGGCUGGAGGAACAAAAAUUGCGCUAAAGCAGAACGUGGCGCUGUUCAGCAUGUGGAGGAUGGUGAUCAUAGCCAGUGUACUCAGAUUCCCAAAUUUGAACAUUAUCGAUCCCAGAGGGGAAACCCUGAAGACCAGGAGCUGAAAAGCAUUGCACCCCUGUCUGCCCCCUACUUCCUAACCUGCCCCAUAACCUCCCAUCAUGCCUCACACUUCUGGCACCAUAACAACAGGACCAUUGACUGCCAGUUCAGCAAAUCGGACUGCCUCCACCUGAUUGAGGGAAUGAAACCAGACCUCUAUGGAAAGUAUCAGUGCUUUGCUGAAGAAAAGGGAUACCAGCGGCUGGUGACAGAAUACACACUGGUGCCCAGUUCAGGAACCACAGCACUCAGCUCCAAGGUGCAAGCCCUGGGGAGUAUCAUCCUGCUGGUGGGGCUCAUUCUCUGAGCUCAGUUCAAGUUUACUGUGGUGUAGUCGAACAGCCAUGUGCAUUUAACCAUGCUUUUCCCAUGCUUAUAUUUUGCUUGUAUUGUGCUUUUCCAUAGUUACCCAAAAGUCCCCUGGGCUAACAUUGUCUAAACCUUUUAAGAUUUUGAAUGCUUGACUCAGAUCCCCGCGUAGUCUUCUUUGUUCAAGACUGAAUAGAUUCAAUUCUUUUUAGCCUGUCUGCAUACGCCAUGCCUUUUAAACACGGGAUAAUUCUGGUUGCUCUUCUUUGCACUCUUUCUAGAGCACCAAUAUCCUUUUUGUAACGAGGUGACCGGAACUGAACACAAUAUUCUAGGUGAGGUCUUACUAAUGCAUUGUAAAGCUUUAACAUUACUUCCCUUGAUUUAAAUUCAACACUUCUCACAAUAUAUCAGAGCAUCUUGUUGGCCUUUUUUAUGGCUUCCCCACAUUGUCUAGAAGAAGACAUUUCUGAGUCAACAUAAACUCCUAGGUCUUUUUCAUACACUGCAUUGUUCAGGUAUGUUUCAAAAUGUGUUUCAAUAAAGUGAAUACACAUUCAUUGAAUACAUUGUGAGUACAGCAGUGUUAUUGUGUGAUAAGCAUGUAGAGGGAGGGGGAUUGCAGAGCUUUGCAUCUCCACUUAGUGAAAAACUGUGGGGAUAACUGUGGUUGCAAAGGUUUUAAAAUCUAGCACCUGGCUUGUCUGUGAGAAGGCCUCUCUAGGAUAUCUGUAAGACUGCACCGACCGGUGUCAUGGUAAAUAACUACACAUUGCGCCGACUUUUUAUUUUAAAUAUAUGUUUUAAAGUUUUUAAUGUUGAAAUAUUCUUUAUUAAAAAUGACACCUGUUUAGAAAAUGCAGUAACCUAUAGGCCUAGAUACAGUAAUGUAAACAUUACAGUAGGAUUUAUCUGUUGAAUGCAUUGUAAAACACUUUGAUCAAAAUGCUACAUAAAAACUAAUAAGUACACAAAUAAAUUGUGUUGUAAUUUAUAUGCACUUUAAAAUAUAUUUCUAAUAAGACGUGUUCUGUGUGCUGUGAACUGAGUUUAAACAAGUUAUUUUGGGUAGCGAGUUGCUUUUUUUAAAUAUUGUUUGUGCUAUAAAUAUAUUGAUUAUGAAUUGUAUAUGUCUGUGUUGUUAUUUAUAUCAGUUGUAACCUUGCCACUUCAAAUCCAUUCAACUGCAGGACUUCAGUUUCAACCACACAAGUCCUUAUUUAAUUGAGCUUUUAGGACAAGUCUGGUUGAAACACACUCAUGCAAUGUAUAAAAUGCUCUGCAAAAUCAUUACAGUAUUAUUUUUGUACAGCUUUUUGAAUAGUUAUUUCUUCAAAAUAUAUGUUGUUAGAAAUGCGUUAAUUAUUUGAUAUGUAUUAUUAGUUUUUCAUUUCAUAUAUGUUUUUUAAUUAUUCCUGAAUGCUAACAUUUUUCUACUUUCAAUUUACAAAAUCAAUCCUGGCACUUGCAAUCCAUUCCACAGCAGGACUUUGUUUCAACCUGACCUGUCAUUUAAAUAAGGAAUGUUAACUGAAACCUUCUUACCUUUUUUGAAUUAAUUAAUUUGUUCUUUUUUUUUUAACUAAAUAAAAAACCCUAAGGAAAUUCAUUGCAAAAACUGCGUUAAAGUAACCUUAAGGUUAUUCGAUCAAAACCCUAAAAAGUGAGAAAAUUGCGAGUUAAGGUAACUCUGCACCAUUAUGCGUAUUGUGACGGAAAUAUAAUGAGCUCUAGUUGUAAAUCUCCCUCUCGACCUGUGAGGGUAUGAAGUAGCGAAAGGGAAAGGCUUUGGACAGGUUGGUCUGACAGUUCAUUCCCUGGGUUGGGAGGUCAGUCAGCCUGGAAAAAGACGAGACUCCGUUGAAGGAAAGUAUUGACCUGGAAGGUAAACAAGUUAGCAGCUGCAGGCAAUAGAGUCAGCUGUAAUCGUUUACCAAGGGGUCAUGUAUAAACGCAUAAAAGGGGCCGGAGAAUUGUAAAUCUUUUCCUUCGCUUGGGUUUCAGAGUUACGAGGAGACUGGAAGGACCGGGAGAUAUCCUCAAACUGAAACAGAGUUUGUGAGUGUUUUGUUCAUGUUUUCUGUUUAGUAACUGUCUGUUUGUUUCGUUAAAUAGCACUAGACGGCUAAACAAAUCCGGAGCUGUCGCCAGGGGCCAGCACAAAGCCGGAUCACCACAGCACUUGUUUUCACCAAUAGCACGUAUUAUAUUGUGCUUCACCACAAGCACUGAGAGCACUCACUUUGGACCUGUGAUUGUGUGUGUUUUGUACCGUGUUUAUUGUUUGCGGGACUGCAACCCUUUUUUUCAUUACUGUGCAAUACACAAUGCUGUGUAUUGCCAGCUCUUUAUUAUUUACUGGCUGGUCAUCAGACAGUUGGAUUUCUAAUCAUUAAAACCCUCAUUUCACCCGUA